ACUUCCGCAUUCCUGAGCAACGUAUAAACAGAAAACAUGGAAGACUUCAAUGUGUAUCAAGUACCGGCUUUAAAACACUACUUAAGUAAAAAAGGUAUUACAACAUCGAUUUACAGAAAAUUUCACUUGAUAAGACUUUGUGAAUUGGCUAGGGAAAUCAACUUAGAGGAUCAAGACACAGAUGAUGAUUACAUAAACAUGGACAUUCGUCGUAGAACUGUCGGAGACCGGACUUUACCAAGCGUUAGCGAGGUAAAAUCAUCUGACUGGAGUGGAGAUUUAAAGCUGAUGCCUGAUAUAUACACUGCAGAUGUUUUUGUAUAUCUCAUCAAUAUUGGUUGGGAUCAACAUCGGCUCCAUUCCUAUAGAACAGAUAAGGGUUAUCUGUUAUAUCAGAACAGCCAUAUCGACAGUGUUCGAGUGUUUCCUAUUGACUCGGAUUACACUUAUAUUCGUUGCAGCACCACCCCAGAAACCCGUCAAUCAGAAGACCCCUAUAUGACAUGGCUCCUAGUGAAAUCCGAUGGCCGUAUCCUAUCUGGUGGCUGCUCCUGUGUUGCUGAUGAUGGUUCCUGCAAGCACUGCACAGCCCUUGCAUUUGCACUUGCAGCUUUUAGCGAUCGCCAUUAAGACAGGCAUACAGAGGUUGGGACCGAUGUGCAGUGUGAGUGGGAUAAGCCCCGGAGGGAGAGCAAGCCUUGUCGUGUGAAGGAAAUUUGCACCUCACACAGGACAGUCCCGGAGAUGCCCAGCAAGGCGGACUAUCAACCGUGCCCUACACUUACCACUGAGAGUAACAGAGAAGUUGAGAAAGAGCUGUUUAGGAUGUGUCAAGGUACAGGUGCUCUUCUCUUACAGACUCUGGACCCUCCUUCAGAUGAGGACGAAGAUCUCCAAGAAAACCCUCCUGACAUGAUAGAUGCUGUAACUCAUACAAGUCAGAGUGGCGAGCCAUUGAUUGACUAUCUGAAAAAUGUGUUCAAUUCUGAUGUUGUCCAGGACGUUGAGCAGAUGACCUGUGGUCAGACUGAAAAUGAACUGUGGUUUAAGUACAGAUAUGGUAGGAUUACAUCUUCAUUGUUUUCAAAAGUAUGUCACUUUAGAGGGAAGAGUCAUGAUAAUUAUAUCACUCGUGAAAUACUUAAUGAUAAAUCUAAUGCUUUAAACACCAAUGCAAUAAUGUAUGGAAGGCAGAAUGAAAUUAUAGCUAAACAAUUGUUUUUUGACAUGUAUUCUCAUGACCAUGUGAAUGCCAAAAUGAAACCUUGUGGUUUAAAUAUAUCUGUAGAUCAUCCAUUUUUAGGUGCAUCACCAGAUGCAUAUUUGUAUUGCAAAUGUUGUGGGAAAGGUUUGGUGGAGGUAAAAUGUUCAUAUUCACACAGAAAUGAGACACCAUAUGAUGUUGCUAGUGACCCUAAUUAUCAUUUAUACAGAGACACUAAUGAUGUUGUCAAGCUCAGGGUAGAUUCUCCAUGGUAUGUUCAAAUUCAAGGACAGCUUGGGGUAUGUAAAGCUAGAUGGUGUGACUUUGUGUUUUACACAGACAUGGGAUUUAUAAGUGAUAGGAUUUAUUAUGAUGAAUGUUUUUUUAAUGAUAUUGUGAACAAGUGCAGCAGCUUUUUUGAUAAACAUGUUCACCCUGCACUGCUUGCUAAAAUCUAGAACAAGUUUUGUAGUCUGUUAUGUAUUAUACCAGUCUUAAGAUUUUGAUUUGAGGCAACACAGCAUAUGAUUUUUUUCUUCAUUGUUUUGUGAUGUUUCUGACAUGUCCUAUGCUAUCUUAUGACAACAGAUAGCAAUAUUAAACCACACUCUGAUAAC
rnacentral:sRNA from 1 species